rnacentral:rRNA from 1 species
CGAAGGGGCGAAGCGUUGCUCGGAAUCACUGGGCGUAAAGACGCACGUAGGCGGAUCGUUAAGUCAGGGGUGGAAAGACCUGGAGGCUCAACUCCAGAACUGCCCUUGAUACUGGCGAUCUUGAGUUCGAGAGAGGUUGGUGGAACUCCGAGUGUAGAGGUGAAAUUCGUAGAUAUUCGGAAGAACACCAGUGGCGAAGGCGGCCAACUGGCUCGAUACUGACGCUGAGGUGCGAAAGCGUGGGGAGCAAACAGGAUU